AGCCCGAUAGCACAACUGGUUAGUGCACUUGCCAUUGCUCCUAUCAGGAGUGAUGAUAUGCAUGUCUCCCUCGUUCGACUCGGGGUCGGGCUU